CUUGAUAACAGUGUGAUAAGGAUCAAAGCUUUCAGUUGCAUUUUACAACACCCAGCUAAAACAAAAGCUUACAUCCCUCCAGUAUUCCUUGCAUGUUAUCAGAUCAGAGUAAUAGACAUCUAGGUGAAACCAUGGAAGUGUGUGUUUUCCCAAGCAGUCUAACCCACCCAGAAACCAACCCUAACUGGUCACUUCUUUCAGAACGUUACAGUAUAGCUGGAGGGAAGAGAUCAAAGGGAAAGACUUGUGUAAAGACAGAACUCUCUGGAGAAAGAGGGCGGG